rnacentral:rRNA from 1 species
UGAAGAUGCAGUGUACCCGCGGCAAGACGGAAAGACCCCGUGAACCUUUACUAUAGCUUGACACUGAACAUUGAGCCUUGAUGUGUAGGAUAGGUGGGAGGCUUUGAAGUGUGGACGCCAGUCUGCAUGGAGCCGGCCUUGAAAUACCACCCUUUAAUGUUUGAUGUUCUAACGUGGACCCGUGAUCCGGGUUGCGGACAGUGUCUGGUGGGUAGUUUGACUGGGGCGGUCUCCUCCUAAAGAGUAACGGAGGAGCACGAAGGUUGGCUAAUCCUGGUCGGACAUCAGGAGGUUAGUGCAAUGGCAUAAGCCAGCUUGACUGCGAGCGUGACGGCGCGAGCAGGUGCGAAAGCAGGUCAUAGUGAUCCGGUGGUUCUGAAUGGAAGGGCCAUCGCUCAACGGAUAAAAGGUACUCCGGGGAUAACAGGCUGAUACCGCCCAAGAGUUCAUAUCGACGGCGGUGUUUGGCACCUCGAUGUCGGCUCAUCACAUCCUGGGGCUGAAGUAGGUCCCAAGGGUAUGGCUGUUCGCCAUUUAAAGUGGUACGCGAGCUGGGUUUAGAACGUCGUGAGACAGUUCGGUCCCUAUCUGCCGUGGGCGCUGGAGAACUGAGGGGGGCUGCUCCUAGUACGAGAGGACCGGAGUGGACGCAUCACUGGUGUUCGGGUUGUCAUGCCAAUGGCACUGCCCGGUAGCUAAAUGCGGAAGAGAUAAGUGCUGAAAGCAUCUAAGCACGAAACUUGCCCCGAGAUGAGUUCUCCCUGACCCUUUAAGGGUCCUGAAGGAACGUUGAAGACGACGACGUUGAUAGGCCGGGUGUGUAAGCGCAGCGAUGCGUUGAGCUAACCGGUACUAAUGAAC